AUGGCUCGCAUUAGGCAGACUGACCACAAAGCCACCGCCUGGCAGGCCCCCAGGAAGCCCCUGGCCACCAAAGUCACCGGCAAGAGGGUCCUGGCUACACGAGGGAUCAAGAAGCCUCACCGCCACAGGCUUGGCACCCUGGCGCUGCACAAAACCAGGAGGUACCAGAAGUCCACACAGCUGCUUCUGCACAAGCUGACCUUCCAGCGCCUGGAGCACGAGAUUGCCCAGGCCAUCAACCCAGACCUGCGCUUCCAAUGUGCGGCCACUGGCGAUUUCAGGGAAACAGCGAGGCCUACCUGGUCCCCCUCUUUAAAGACAUCAACCUAUGUGUUAUCCAUGCCAGGCGUGUCACAGUUAUGCCCAGAGACAUGCAGCUGGCCUGCCAACUCGGCAGAGAGGGUGCUGG
rnacentral:lncRNA from 1 species